CCGUUCGGGUCGUAAAGCACUUUUCUGAGGGAUGAGCAAGGACAGUACCUCAGGAAUAAGUCUCGGCUAACUACGUGCCAGCAGCCGACGGUAAACGUAGGAGGCAAGCGUUAUCCGGAUUCACGUGGGUUUAAAGGUGCGUAGGCGGCUUGAUAAGUCAGAGGUGAAGCCCGCAGCUUAACUGCGGAACUGCCUUUGAUACUGUUGAGCUUGAAACAGGACGAGGUUGGCGGAAUGUGGCAUGUAGCGGUGAAAUGCAUAGAUAUGCCAUAGAACACCGAUUGCGAAGGCAGCUGGCUAGACCUGAUUUGACGCUGAGGCACGAAAGCGUGGGGAGCGAACAGGAUUAGAUACCCUGGUAGUCCACGCCCUAAACGAUGCUCACUCGACGUACGGUAGGAAUAUUGUGCGUCCAAGCGAAAGCGAUAAGUGAGCCACCUGGGGAGUACGUCGGCAACGAUGAAACUCAAAGGAAUUGACGGGGGGUCCGCACAAGCGGUGGAGCAUGUG
rnacentral:rRNA from 1 species